UGAUGAUGGAUGUGAAUGGACAUCUUAAGGAUAACUGGAUGUGGCAUCUUCAGAAACAGUGGCGUUUUGGUGGGCGGAAGAGAUAAUCCAGCCUGCCAAGUGCUAUGCACUCGUUCCAGUGCCAAAAUACAAAACACACCAGCAGCUUUAAUGUAGUUUUUUAAACUGCUGUGCUUCAAUGGGCUGUUGCAGUAACUUGGGAUGAAGAAGUUAGGCUGCUCACCAGUUUGUUUUGCCAGGCUGAUCCUCCAUGAGUGACUCAUAGCUAAAUGAACACAGCAGCCUAAAGGCGUGCCCUCACUGC
rnacentral:lncRNA from 1 species